ACGAUAACCCGACACGAAACCGCACGAAAUUAAUGGGUUAGAAACACGCACGAUAAGGUUCGGGUCCUUAUCGGGUCGACCUGAUAAGGAUCUGAUAAUUUCGGGUCGGGUUCGGGUUGGGUCGGGUUCGGUUCAGGUAACCCGAUAAUAAUAUUAUUAUUUUUAUUAAACAUUUAUUUUAAAUUUUAAAUUUUUAUUUUCUUAGUUUACUUUAGGUUAGUAGGGUUUCAUAUCAUUCAUCCCUUCCAAUUUCCCCGCCGCACACCCGUUUCGUCCCUUGACUCCCUUCCAAUUUCCAUUCUUCCAAGUUCCAACUCCGCCGCCCGCCGCCGCACUGCCCCGCCCCGCCGCCCGCACUCGACGUCGACUCUCAAGUCACAGCCACAUCGACGACGACGGCCCGGCGCAGCCCUUCUUCGAGUCGCCGCCCCAUCCCACUGUCGAAUCUCACGGCUCCCUCUUCGCCGCCUCUCUCCCAAAGUUCCAGUCGGCGCGGAGGAGAGGAGGAGCAAGAAGAAGAAGCAGAGGAAGAGGAGGCAUCGGAGUUACUUCUCGUCGUCUGAGUCCUCAUAGUCGGAUUCUGGUUCCGACUCUGAUUCGGAGGAGAGGAGUCGUCGGAAGAAGGGUAAGAGCAGGAGGCAUGGGAGAAGGCACUAAUGGAUCUUGAUUUAUUUGUUCUUUGUUGUUAUAGGUAAUUAUGUCUAGCAAUGAUGAUGAUGGUGAUGAAAAUACUUUUACGACAUAUACAAGUGAAAUGCCUUGUAUUGCUUCUACUGCUAGCCCUGCAGCUGCUGCCCCUUCUGCUGCCACAGAUGCAGAAACUGGUUUAGGGACGUCCAAUCCUACAGCUAAGCCCCCAACGAACAAAAGAAAACCGAGGAUGAGUAUGUCUUGAUAUGAAGAACUAUUUGUGGAUUGGACUCCAAGAACGGGCACUAGAUGGCGAUAUUUUUAUGUUGUUAGACUUUUAUUUUGUUGAACUUGAAACACUUCACUAGAUGGCGAUAUUUUUAUGUUGUUAGACUUUUAUUUUGUUGAACUUGAAACACUUCACUAGAUGGCGAUAUUUUUAUGUUGCUAGACUUUUAUUUUGUUGGACUCAACCUAUGAUUUAUGUUGAUGAAUGGGACUUAUUAUGUGAGCUUUUAAAUUUCA